rnacentral:rRNA from 1 species
UAAGGAAUAUUGGUCAAUGGACGCAAGUCUGAACCAGCCAUGCCGCGUGAAGGAUGAAGGUCCUCUGGAUUGUAAACUUCUUUUAUCUGGGACGAAAACGGGAUUUUUAUCUCAAUUGACGGUACCAGAGGAAUAAGCACCGGCUAACUCCGUGCCAGCAGCCGCGGUAAUACGGAGGGUGCGAGCGUUAUCCGGAUUUACUGGGUUUAAAGGGUGCGUAGGUGGGCGUAUAAGUCAGUGGUGAAAUCUCCGAGCUUAACUUGGAAACUGCCGUUGAUACUAUAGGUCUUGAACUAUCUGGAGGUAAGCGGAAUAUUUCAUGUAGCGGUGAAAUGCUUAGAUAUGACAUAGAACACCAAUUGCGAAGGCAGCUUACUACAUAUAAAUUGACGCUGAGGCACGAAAGCG